UACAGAGGGUGCGAGCGUUAAUCGGAAUUACUGGGCGUAAAGGGUGCGUAGGUGGUUAUGUAAGUUAGAUGUGAAAUUCCUGGGCUUAACCUGGGGACUGCGUCUGAUACUGCGAAGCUAGAGUACUGUAGAGGAAAGUGGAAUUUCCGGUGUAGCAGUGAAAUGCGUAGAUAUCGGAAGGAACAUCAGUGGCGAAGGCGACUUUCUGGACAGAUACUGACACUGAGGCACGAAAGCGUGGGGAGCAAACAGG
rnacentral:rRNA from 1 species